CCUACGGGUGGCAGCAGUGAGGAAUAUUGGUCAAUGGACGCAAGUCUGAACCAGCCAUGCCGCGUGCAGGAAGACGGCUCUAUGAGUUGUAAACUUCUUUUGUACGAGGGUAAACGCAGAUACGCGUAUCUGUCUGCAAGUAUCGUACGAAUAAGGAUCGGCUAACUCCGUGCCAGCAGCCGCGGUAAUACGGAGGAUUCAAGCGUUAUCCGGAUUUAUUGGGUUUAAAGGGUGCGUAGGCGGUCGGAUAAGUUAGAGGUGAAAUCCCGAGGCUCAACUUCGGAAUUGCAUCUGAUACUGUUCGGCUAGAGAGUAGUAGCGGUAGGCGGAAUGUAUGGUGUAGCGGUGAAAUGCUUAGAGAUCAUACAGAACACCGAUUGCGAAGGCAGCUUACCAAGCUACUACUGACGUUGAGGCACGAAAGCGUGGGGAGCAAACAGGAUUAGAUACCCCAGUAGUC
rnacentral:rRNA from 1 species